rnacentral:lncRNA from 1 species
AUAUACUGAUGGUCACUAAUUCCUGUGGAUACUGCUUAACAUCUUUUUACAGAUUUUCAUUUACUUUUUAUUUUUCUUAACAAGAACCUAAUUUUUUCGUUGAGUAAAUGUUUCAAUGAUUAAAUGAAAAGUGACUGAUGCCUAAAGAAAAAAUGUAAAGUCAUAUGGAAGUGAAUAAGGAACAUAAAUGAGAAAAAAAAAGUCAGAAGUAUUCCAAAAAAAAAAAACUGAAAGAAUAAUCUUACAAAGAACUUGAGGCGCCAAUCAAAUUUGUAUCUUCAAAAACCAUAAGAGCUUAGAGAACAAAAAAAAAAAAAGAACCUAAUUCUCCCAUAACAAGAACCUAAUUCUCCUCCUACUAUAUUGGUGGAUUAUUGGUGGUCUAACAUUGCAUUCCCGGUCCAAUUUUACCUUGUCCUCAAGGUGGAAAUCAGGAAAAGACUGCUGAAAAUCGUCAUAAUUCUCCCAAGUGGCCUCAUGUUUUGGCAACCCCUUCCAGCUUAUUAAAACCUCCCAAACGCCUUUACUAUUCUUCUGAUAUCCAUAAAUCUCAUCAGGUUCAGGGUUUUCAGUCAAAAAGGGUACCCACUCCACCUUAUCCUUGCAUUCCCCAAAGGCUUUCUUCAACUGUGAAAUGUGGAACACUGGAUGUAUUGUUGCUGAAGUAGGGAGUUUAAGUUUAUAAGCUACAUAACCAAUCUUCUUCAGAAUACGAUAAGGACCGAAGUACUUAGGGGACAACUUCUCAUUCCUUCUUUUUCGCAUAGAAACCUGUCGGUAGGGUCUGAUUUUUAAGAAAACCAUAUCUCCUUCAAAUUCUACAUGUCUUCUCUUCAUAUCUGCAUAACUCUUCAUCUUUUCUUGAGCUAUUCGCAAAUGCUCCUUCAAAGCCCCUAAAGAGACAUCCCUUUCUUUAAGUUGCUCAUCAAGCGUGGAGUUUGGAGUCUCUCUGUCUCCAUAGUAAAUAAGGGCCGGUGGCGUUCUUCCAUAGCUUGAAAAGGAGUCACACCCAAGGAUCGCUGGUAUGUAGUAUUAUACCAAUAUUCUAUCCAAGGAAUCCACUUCACCCACUCUUUUGGUCUCUCUCCACAAAAACAGAAAUAUUUUGUCACGAUCGGAAACAAUGGAUUGGGGAAAUCCAUGCUGUCUUACUACUUCCUUAAUAAACAACUCAGCCACCACUUUAGCAUCGAAUGGGUGUUUUAGACUUAGAAAAUGACCAUAUUUACUAAACCGAUCCACCACCACCAAGAUAACUCCAUACCCCCACAACUUUGGCAGCCCUUCAAUGAAAUCCAUUGAAAUAUCUUCCUCACACUCUACUUGGAAUCUCCAACGGAACCAGUAAUCCCGCAGGUGUAAGGACCGAUGUCUUAUUUAUUUGGCAAAGGCACAUUCUUUGCAGUAUUUGUAACUUCUCAUUUCAUGCCCUCCCAAAACAGCUCUCCGGUCAAUCUCUUGUAUGUUCUUAGGAAUCCCAAAUGGCCCCUAAGGACAGAAUCAUGAUAGGUAUGCAUAACGUUAGGAAUCAAUGAAGAAGUCUUUGCAAUCACCAACCUUCCUUUAUAUCUAAGUAUACCCUGCUGUAAGGAAUAAUUUUUAACUUCUUCAUUCUGUGGCUUCAUGAUUAUUUCUUUCAACUUCCCAUCCCUAUCUACCUCCUCCUUAAUAAUUUUCAGAUCAAUCAACGUCGGGGCCGUUAACUGAUUAAGGAAUACCGUGGGUGGUACUCGAGACAGGGCAUCUGCUGCCUUAUUUUCCAAGCCGGGCUUAUAUACUACCUCGAAGGAAUAGCCAAGCAAUUUUGCAAUCCACUUAUGAUAUUGUGGCUGUAUGACCCUCUGUUCAAGUAAAAAUUUAAGGGAAUGCUGGUCAGUCUUGACUAUGAACUGCCUUCUGAUCAAAUAUGGCCGCCAACGUUGUACCGCCAACACUACUGCCAUCAACUCCCUCUCAUAAACCGGCUUGGCUCGGUCCCUCAUUGCCAAUGUGUGGCUAUAGAAAGCAAUAGGUCUCUUGUUUUGCAUCAGCACCGCUCCCUCUCCAUACCCAGAUGUGUUUGUUUCUAAUUCAAACGGUAUAUUGAAAUUGCGUAAAGCUAAUACUGGCAGAGUCAUCAUAAUAUUCUGUAACCUUAGGAAAGCUUUCUGAGCCUCAUCAUUCCAUUUAAAAGACCCCAACUUCAAUAACUAAGUUAAAGGUGCUGCAAUGGAACCAUAAUGUUGUACAAAUCGUCGAUAAUACCUGGUCAGUCCCAAAACUCCCCUAACUUCUCGUACAUUUGUUGGAAUUGGCCAUUGCUUGAUAGAUCUUAUCUUCUCCGGAUCUACCUCUACUCCUUCCCCAGACAAAAUGUGGUCUAAAUAUAUAUGCGAAACUACAUUUCUUUUUGUUAGCAUACAACUUGUGAGUUCUCAACACUUUUAAUACCAACUCCACAUGUUGACAAUGUUCUUCUACCCCUCUACUAUAAAUCAGGAUAUCAUCAAAGAAGACAAGGACAAAUUUCCUCAAAUAUCAUCUGAAAAUAUUAUUCAUCAAGGACUGAAAAGUUGCUGGUGAAUUAGUUAGCCCAAAAGGCAUUACUAGAAAUUCAUAGUGCCCUUCGUGCGUUCUAAAUGCUGUUUUUUCUAUACCUUGGUUACACAUCCUAAUUUGGUGAUAACCAACUUUAAGAUCAAUUUUAGAAAACAGAUUUGCACCAUUUAAUUCAUCAAGCAGCUCCUCAAUAACAGGGAUAGGGAACUUAUCUGGAAUUGUUACGUUAUUGAGCACCGGGUAGUCAACACAAAACCUCCAACUCCCAUCUUUUUUUUCUCACCAAAAGCACCGGACUCGAAUAAGGACUUGUACUGGGACGAAUAAUUCCAGACGAUAAUAUUUCAUCUACUAGUUUCUCCAUCUCUUCCUUCUGUUGAAACAUGUACCUAUACGGUCUAACGUUUACUGGAUCUAUUCCUCCCUUCAAGUGUAUAUGAUGCUUGAUAUCCCUCCUUGGGGGUAAUUCUUCCAGCCACUCGAACACAUCCUUAUACCGUGCUAACACAGAUUGAACUUUCUCCUGCCUUGUGUUUGCCGCUUCCUCUUCCUGUCGGCCAAUAUCAAUAAUCCUUGCUUCCAAGGCUCUGCAUUCCACCAAAUAUCCUUGGUCCAAGUUGGUCCAAGACUUUUUCAAACUAACUUGAGUCUUUGUUAAACUGGGAUCCCCUUAAUUAUCACCUUCCUGUUUUCAUGAAAGAAGGUCAUGAUAAGGUUUUUCCAAUCCAUUUCAGUCACCCCUAAGGAGUAUAGCCAUUGCAUCCCAAGUAUUACAUCCACCCCUCCUAACUCCAAUGGCAAAAAAUUCUCUAUUACUUCCUAACCGUCAAGGUCAACUUCCACCUUCUCACAUAUCCCCCUCCCUUUAAUGGCAGUUCCCGAUCCAAAAAUAACUCCAUAAUUGGAGGUAUCCUUUGUGUUCAACUUCAGCAUCAACACCAGCUUGUCUGAAAUAAAAUUAUGCGUGGCUCCGCAAUCGAUCAACACAAUGACUUCUCUUCCUUGAAUUUUCCCUCUAACUUUCAUGGCACCAGGAUUCGUCAGCCCCACCACCGAAUUAAUACAUAAUUCGACUACCCCUUCUAUUUCGCUUUUCAACUCCAUAGUGCACAACUCCCUUUGCUCAUAUACGUCUUCCUCUAUAAUUUCUUCUUCUACAUUAUCUGCCCGAAUCACAAACAUUCGUAGCUCCCUUAUUUCUUUUGCCUUACAUUUAUGCCCCGAGUAGUAUUUCUCAUCACAUUUAAAACACAAUCCCUUCUCUCUCUUGGCUUGAAAUUCGACAUCUGAUAAACGCUUAGAUGGCCUUUCCUUUUUAUUCUCAUUGGUCGUUGAUCCUCUCAAUGUAAUGGUUCUUAUCGAAAAUACAACGUUACCUCUGUUUUUCUGAUAAUUAUUUGUUGCAUUCGACUUAGUAUGAACAUAGGGGUAAUAUGGGAAUUUCCCUCUAUUAUAUCUCGGUAAAUUUGCUUCCUUCCUUAAAAUCUCCCUAUUCUCUACCAUUUGAGCGUACUGCAUCAUUUGUGAAAACCUCACUAGUCGACAAAACUCUACUUCUUGGUAACAACCCUCCAAUAAAAGUUUCUUCCAAAAUUUUCUCCUGAAUAUCCGAUAAAGGGGCAACCAAUUAACAAAAAGAUUUCGAUAUUCCUCCGCACUUGAAGUUUGUUGUAUUUGCAGAAACUGGCCGGAAAGAGACCCUUUUUGUAUCGAACGAAAUCGGAUUAACAACUGUUCUUUCAUAUUUAACUAGUCAGUAAACUUAUCUCUCCUCCUGAAACCGAUACCAGUGUAGUGUCGGGCCCUCAAAACUAACCGUCGCUACCAGAAGCUUCUCGGAAUCAGUUAAUCUGUGUAUCUGAAAAUACCGAUCCACGCGAAACAGCCACAAGUCUGGAUCAUCUUCGUUGAAGACAGGCAUCUCAACUUUUAAAAAUUUUUGCUGAUCAGAAUUUUCGUCUUCUAUUUCACUUUUCUUCUCCUGAUUUUCGUUUUUGAUUUCUUUGCUUGUUGAACCUUCUCCUUCUUUAGAUUUCGUCGGUGAAGUUUCUUAUAAAAGAAAUCGAAAAUCGUGACCGUAUUAGCCCUUCGUUCCUCACAGAGGAAAGGAAUCAUAUUAAAAAAAAAGCAAGCUUCAUUGGCUAAAAGAAGGGGAUGAGAAGAUGCUAUUUUUAUAUUUAGGGCUUCCAUUGGGGAGUUAUCCAUGACAAGCUACUUUUUGGCAGUCCAUGAUUGAUAAUAGACAAAUGGAGAAGAUUUAAUCUGUCGAAGAGGAAGAGCAACUUUAUGCCAAUCCGUAUUGAUCAAUCUCCCCCCUUAUUAUAUGUCUUUGUUUGCAAUGCCGGACACUGGAGCCUCCUCUUUGGAGAGGCUAGUGAGGAAUUUUUCUGGGAGGGGCAUGGAAGCAAAAUCAACCACCUAGUUAAAUGGGCCAAAGUUAUUCGGCCUCAACUUGAUGGAGGUUUAGGUUUGGGAGCACUACAAAAUAAAAACUUGGCUUUCCUUGCCAAGUGGGGCUGGAGAUUUACGAAUGAAGAGGAUUCUUUAUGGAGGCAAGUUAUCCGAAGCAUCCAUGGAAAAGAACCAUUUAACUGGCACAUGGUUGGUAAUUCUGGUUAUAGCCUUAAAUGCCCUUGGAUUCGUAUCUCAAGAAUUUGGAGGAAGGUGGAGUCCUUGCCCUCUUUCAAACUUGGUGAUGGCUCAAGAAUUCCUUCUGGGCAGAUGGGUGGAUUGAUAAUCUUUCAAACUUUUGUAAUUGCUGUGACUAGUUCUCAAACAUGGAACUUGUCCAGGGACUUGCAAUUAUAUUUUCAUCCCUUUCCCCUUCAGCCUAAAAGUGCGACGGUUUACAUUUCAUUUUUCAAUGAUUCUUUUGUGCGCCUUCAAAUUCCGCUUUAUAGUACAGCCAAAGUUUUGAGGAAAAAGCCAAGACUCAUGCGAGGUUAAUGCAUUAGCGACUCAAUUUGAGGAAUGUAUAAGGAACAUGAAAAUAAACAAAAGUUAAGGAAUGCCUCAUCAUGGUGUAUUUUGUCUUAAGGCAUUUGAAGACUAUUCCAUCUAGGAGUUUUAUUUGAAUUGGCGAGCCUUAACUUUUACAUCAUAGUCCUCUUGUAUUGUUGUAUUUUUUUUUUGUUCCUUCCUUGUUUGUACUCUCCCGCUAUUUGGGUGUCUAAUUUGGGCUGUGCAUAAGCCUAAGUUUUACUUGGUUAUAUUAGAUUCUUGGAUAUGAUGAGGACGCUAUGGGACUGUCAACCUAGUUGAGAUGUUCGGGUGUGUCUCCUGAUCCUUGGGCCUUUUUGUUCUAUGCUCUUUACAUAGUUCUUUUGUACUGUGAACAUUAGCCUCAUUUCUAUCAUUAAUGAAAUGGCUUGUUCUUUUUCAAAAAAAAGAAAAACCCAUUUGUUUGUGUGCAACAUUCAAAUUCCUUUUCUAAUUAAUUCUACCGUCUUUUUGGCUACAUAUAUUUGGAGUUCAUUUUUUGCAACUUCUAUAAGUAAUCCUUCUCACCCUACCACUUAAAAAUGUUUUACUUGUAUUAUUUGGUCGACUUUUCUAAAUCUUAAUGUUUGCAAUUUAAUAGAAUUUUACUUUCAUGAGUUGUCUGAAAGUUCUCACCAGGCACACAAGGGGAGAUAUGGCGAAAGUAACAUCUGUCGCAGUAGAAUGUUUUAAUUAUUUAUUGAUGGGAUGCUUGUUACAAGCUAUAGCAUUAUAUUUGCUAUAUGAGAAAUUUCUAUAUUACUGAGUAAAUCAUAAUAAUUCAAAGUACAUAACGAUGUUUUACAUAGGAAAUAAAUAGACCUCAAAGUAACCUCCACAGGAAAAUUCAUAUAUGGAAAAUACCAAAAGGAAAAUACUAAUAAUUCAUAAACCCUAAUUUUCCUUUAACAACUUCCCUCAAACUCAAGUUCUAGAAUCUUGAACUUGAGUUUGCUAAGAAAACAUCUAAAUCAAAUCAGUAGAUCUAGGAUAGAACAAAAAACUUAUGAUGAACCAAACAACAAGAAACUUCUUGGCUAAAGACAAACCCACAAAGAACGAAACGAAGAACUUCUGAGAUAGAAGCAUAGAUCCUUGUAUAGAGAUCUAUAACAACAAAAUCUAGGAAGAACGGAAGAACUUAUGGGCAAUAACAAAGAUCCUCAUGGAGAGAGAUGUAAUAAAUGACAGAUGUUGCUGAUCACACACAAAAUUGAACUAGAUUAAUCUAAAUCGCACUUAUCUUGGCCAACUGCCAUGGAUGCUGAAAUGGCUUUCUUAAUGGCCAACCAAGCAUUAGCGACAUCUGGAAAACUUGUCUUUGAUCCUUUUGUUGGCACUGGAGCAUUCUUGUUGGCGCAGCUCAUUUUGGAGCAAUGACAAUGGUAACUACUUUAAGGACAUCACAAUUUAUCUCAUAAAGAAAUUGUCUGAUUUUACAACAUUUGGCUGAUAGAAAACAUGUGGGUGACUUAAUAUUCUAAAUUGAUAGCUUUGAACACAUUCCUCUGAAGUCUUUUACUUUCUUUCUGAUACAUGACUUAUGGGCUACUUUUUCUAUGCAUUGGAUAUUAUAUUAUAAGUUCGGGUUCAAUCUUGUAGCGAACAUUCAUUGCAUUCAGGGAACUUAAUUUAAGGUAGUUUUCAGUUCCCAUAGAAUGCGUGUGAGAGAGAUACCAUUUGAAUUCAAACUGACCAAAAUGUAUCAGGGGGCAGACAUUGACAUUAGGGUGGUACGUGAUGGUUGUGGCCCUGAUUGUAAUGUUUGGAGCAACUUCAAGCAGGUAAAUAUGUUUUAUAAAUUCUUAGAACUCAAGGACACAAAUGUACCACCUAUAGAAUAAAUCCUGUUCAAGUAAGGUCAUGCUUUAUAAUAAAAUUCUACAAUUCUAGGUUUAGAAAUUUUGUUCAUGGUGCUAGUCUUGGUUUAUAAUGCUCUAUGUUGAAAGUUUGAAACUCUAUGACUAACAGUAAAAUACAUGUGAGGGUGACAAGCAUGAUAAAGGAUAACCGACUGUACUGCUAGUAUUUUGCAUGUGCAAUUUUCUGUGAUUCAACUGAUUAUGAUAAUAUCAAAUUUUGAUGCUUUAUGUUCCUAUGUAUGAUCAUAGAUGUUUCAUGCUGUAAUGGUACUAAUCUGUUUAUUACUGCUUGCAGUAUGGAUUACCACCUCCAAUUGCACUGUUAAGAGCAGAUAAUAAUCUUCCUCCCUGGCGUCCAGGAUUGAAGGAGGUACAGCAGCAAUAUUUGCACCAGUACUAUUUAUUUAUUUUUCGUGGUGCUGAAGUUUCACUACCCUUGUUAUAUACUGAUGGUCACUAAUUCCUGUGGAUACUGCUUAACAUCUUUUUACAGAUUUUCAUUUACUUUUUAUUUUUCUUAACAAGAACCUAAUUUUUUUGUUGAGUAAAUGUUUCAAUGAUUAAAUGAAAAGUGACUGAUGCCUAAAGAAAAAAUGUAAAGUCAUAUGGAAGUGAAUAAGGAACAUAAAUGAGAAAAAAAGUCAGAAGUAUUCAAAAAAAAAAACUGAAAGAAUAAUCUUACAAAGAACUUGAGGCGCCAAUCAAAUUUGUAUCUUCAAAAACCAUAAGAGCUUAGAGAACAAAAAAAAAAAAAGAACUUAUUUA